rnacentral:rRNA from 1 species
UUAAAUUGAAGAGUUUGAUCAUGGCUCAGAUUGAACGCUGGCGGCAGGCCUAACACAUGCAAGUCGAACGGUAACAGAAAGAAGCUUGCUUCUUUGCUGACGAGUGGCGGACGGGUGAGUAAUGUCUGGGAAACUGCCUGAUGGAGGGGGAUAACUACUGGAAACGGUAGCUAAUACCGCAUAACGUCGCAAGACCAAAGAGGGGGACCUUCGGGCCUCUUGCCAUCGGAUGUGCCCAGAUGGGAUUAGCUUGUUGGUGGGGUAACGGCUCACCAAGGCGACGAUCCCUAGCUGGUCUGAGAGGAUGACCAGCCACACUGGAACUGAGACACGGUCCAGACUCCUACGGGAGGCAGCAGUGGGGAAUAUUGCACAAUGGGCGCAAGCCUGAUGCAGCCAUGCCGCGUGUAUGAAGAAGGCCUUCGGGUUG